rnacentral:rRNA from 1 species
UACGAAUCGUCCAAACGUUGUUCGGAUUCACUGGGUUUAAAGGGCGCGUAGGCGGUGCGUUAAGUCGGCGGUGAAAACCUGAGGCUCAACCUCGGGCCUGCAGUGGGUACGGGCAGACUAGAGUGCGGUAGGGGAGAUUGGAAUUCCUGGUGUAGCGGUGGAAUGCGCAGAUAUCAGGAGGAACACCAAUGGCGAAGGCAGAUCUCUGGGCCGUAACUGACGCUGAGGAGCGAAAGCAUGGGGAGCGAACAGG